CUACGGAAGGCAGCAGUGGGGAAUUUUGGACAAUGGGCGCAAGCCUGAUCCAGCAAUGCCGCGUGAGUGAAGAAGGCCUUCGGGUUGUAAAGCUCUUUUGUCAGGGAAGAAACGGGAGUGGCUAAUAUCUGCUUCUAAUGACGGUACCUGAAGAAUAAGCACCGGCUAACUACGUGCCAGCAGCCGCGGUAAUACGUAGGGUGCAAGCGUUAAUCGGAAUUACUGGGCGUAAAGCGUGCGCAGGCGGUUUUGUAAGUCUGUCGUGAAAUCCCCGGGCUCAACCUGGGAAUGGCGAUGGAGACUGCAAGGCUAGAAUCUGGCAGAGGGGGGUAGAAUUCCACGUGUAGCAGUGAAAUGCGUAGAGAUGUGGAGGAACACCGAUGGCGAAGGCAGCCCCCUGGGUCAAGAUUGACGCUCAUGCACGAAAGCGUGGGGAGCAAACAGGAUUAGAUACCCUAGUA
rnacentral:rRNA from 1 species